rnacentral:rRNA from 1 species
UACGGAGGGAGCUAGCGUUAUUCGGAAUUACUGGGCGUAAAGCGCACGUAGGCGGCUUUGUAAGUAAGAGGUGAAAGCCCAGAGCUCAACUCUGGAAUUGCCUUUUAGACUGCAUCGCUUGAAUCAUGGAGAGGUCAGUGGAAUUCCGAGUGUAGAGGUGAAAUUCGUAGAUAUUCGGAAGAACACCAGUGGCGAAGGCGGCUGACUGGACAUGUAUUGACGCUGAGGCGCGAAAGCGUGGGGAGCGAUCCGG